GAUGAACGCUGGCGGUGUGCCUAACACAUGCAAGUCGAGCGAACACACGAUGAGAUCUUUCUCUUACCGUUAGCGACGGACGGGCGAGUAACACAUGGAUAACCAUCUAAUUAUACUGGGAUAAUUACGGGAAACCGGUGACACUACUGGAUAAUACAUCCUACGGCUUGGAUCAAUAGAUAUUGACAGCUUUGCCGUCUCAAUUAGCCGGAUUCGCGUCGCAUUAGCUAGUUGGUAAGGUAACGGCUUACCAAGGCAACGAUGCGUAGCCGACCUGAGAGGGUGAUCAGCCACACUGGAACUGAGACACGGUCCAGACUCCUACGGGAGGCAGCAGUGGGGAAUCUUCCGCAAUGGGCGAAAGCCUGACGGAGCAACACCGCGUGAGUGAUGAAGGUCUUCGGGUCGUAAAGCUCUUUUGUUGGGAAAGAACAGAAGUAGAUGUAUCUAUGGACGUCUUGACGGUACCUAAACAGAAAGCCACGGCUAACUACGUG
rnacentral:rRNA from 1 species